rnacentral:rRNA from 1 species
UACAGAGGUCCCGAGCGUUGUUCGGAUUCACUGGGCGUAAAGGGCGCGUAGGCGGCCUUCUAAGUCGAACGUGAAAUCCCCGGGCUCAACCCGGGAACUGCGUCCGAUACUGGAAGGCUUGAAUUCGGGAGAGGGAUGCGGAAGUUCCAGGUGUAGCGGUGAAAUGCGUAGAUAUCUGGAGGAACACCGGGUGGCGAAGGCGGCAAUCCGUGGACCGAGAUUGACGCUGACGGCGCGAAAGCCAGGGGAGCAAACGGG